rnacentral:rRNA from 1 species
UACGUAGGGUGCGAGCGUUAAUCGGAAUUACUGGGCGUAAAGCGUGCGCAGGCGGUUUUGUAAGCCAGAUGUGAAAUCCCCGGGCUUAACCUGGGAAUGGCAUUUGGGACUGCAAGGCUGGAGUGUGGCAGAGGGGGGUGGAAUUCCACGUGUAGCAGUGAAAUGCGUAGAUAUGUGGAGGAACACCGAUGGCGAAGGCAGCCCCCUGGGUUAACACUGACGCUCAUGCACGAAAGCGUGGGGAGCAAACAGG